rnacentral:rRNA from 1 species
CUGAAACCGUGUGCUUACAAGUAGUCAGAGCCCGUUAAUGGGUGAUGGCGUGCCUUUUGUAGAAUGAACCGGCGAGUUACGAUUUGAUGCAAGGUUAAGCAGUAAAUGUGGAGCCGUAGCGAAAGCGAGUCUGAAUAGGGCGUUUAGUAUUUGGUCGUAGACCCGAAACCAGGUGAUCUACCCUUGGUCAGGUUGAAGUUCAGGUAACACUGAAUGGAGGACCGAACCGACUUACGUUGAAAAGUGAGCGGAUGAACUGAGGGUAGCGGAGAAAUUCCAAUCGAACCUGGAGAUAGCUGGUUCUCUCCGAAAUAGCUUUAGGGCUAGCCUCAAGUGAUGAUUAUUGGAGGUAGAGCACUGUUUGGACGAGGGGCCCCUCUCGGGUUACCGAAUUCAGACAAACUCCGAAUGCCAAUUAAUUUAACUUGGGAGUCAGAACAUGGGUGAUAAGGUCCGUGUUCGAAAGGGAAACAGCCCAGACCACCAGCUAAGGUCCCAAAAUAUAUGUUAAGUGGAAAAGGAUGUGGCGUUGCCCAGACAACUAGGAUGUUGGCUUAGAAGCAGCCAUCAUUUAAAGAGUGCGUAAUAGCUCACUAGUCGAGUGACACUGCGCCGAAAAUGUACCGGGGCUAAACAUAUUACCGAAGCUGUGGAUUGUCCUUUGGACAAUGGUAGGAGAGCGUUCUAAGGGCGUUGAAGCAUGAUCGUAAGGACAUGUGGAGCGCUUAGAAGUGAGAAUGCCGGUGUGAGUAGCGAAAGACGGGUGAGAAUCCCGUCCACCGAUUGACUAAGGUUUCCAGAGGAAGGCUCGUCCGCUCUGGGUUAGUCGGGUCCUAAGCUGAGGCCGACAGGCGUAGGCGAUGGAUAACAGGUUGAUAUUCCUGUACCACCUAUAAUCGUUUUAAUCGAUGGGGGGACGCAGUAGGAUAGGCGAAGCGUGCGAUUGGAUUGCACGUCUAAGCAGUAAGGCUGAGUAUUAGGCAAAUCCGGUACUCGUUAAGGCUGAGCUGUGAUGGGGAGAAGACAUUGUGUCUUCGAGUCGUUGAUUUCACACUGCCGAGAAAAGCCUCUAGAUAGAAAAUAGGUGCCCGUACCGCAAACCGACACAGGUAGUCAAGAUGAGAAUUCUAAGGUGAGCGAGCGAACUCUCGUUAAGGAACUCGGCAAAAUGACCCCGUAACUUCGGGAGAAGGGGUGCUCUUUAGGGUUAACGCCCAGAAGAGCCGCAGUGAAUAGGCCCAAGCGACUGUUUAUCAAAAACACAGGUCUCUGCUAAACCGUAAGGUGAUGUAUAGGGGCUGACGCCUGCCCGGUGCUGGAAGGUUAAGAGGAGUGGUUAGCUUCUGCGAAGCUACGAAUCGAAGCCCCAGUAAACGGCGGCCGUAACUAUAACGGUCCUAAGGUAGCGAAAUUCCUUGUCGGGUAAGUUCCGACCCGCACGAAAGGCGUAACGAUUUGGGCACUGUCUCAACGAGAGACUCGGUGAAAUCAUAGUACCUGUGAAGAUGCAGGUUACCCGCGACAGGACGGAAAGACCCCGUGGAGCUUUACUGUAGCCUGAUAUUGAAAUUCGGCACAGCUUGUACAGGAUAGGUAGGAGCCUUUGAAACGUGAGCGCUAGCUUACGUGGAGGCGCUGGUGGGAUACUACCCUAGCUGUGUUGGCUUUCUAACCCGCACCACUUAUCGUGGUGGGAGACAGUGUCAGGCGGGCAGUUUGACUGGGGCGGUCGCCUCCUAAAAGGUAACGGAGGCGCUCAAAGGUUCCCUCAGAAUGGUUGGAAAUCAUUCAUAGAGUGUAAAGGCAUAAGGGAGCUUGACUGCGAGACCUACAAGUCGAGCAGGGUCGAAAGACGGACUUAGUGAUCCGGUGGUUCCGCAUGGAAGGGCCAUCGCUCAACGGAUAAAAGCUACCCCGGGGAUAACAGGCUUAUCUCCCCCAAGAGUUCACAUCGACGGGGAGGUUUGGCACCUCGAUGUCGGCUCAUCGCAUCCUGGGGCUGUAGUCGGUCCCAAGGGUUGGGCUGUUCGCCCAUUAAAGCGGUACGCGAGCUGGGUUCAGAACGUCGUGAGACAGUUCGGUCCCUAUCCGUCGUGGGCGUAGGAAAUUUGAGAGGAGCUGUCCUUAGUACGAGAGGACCGGGAUGGACAUACCUCUGGUGUACCAGUUGUCGUGCCAACGGCAUAGCUGGGUAGCUAUGUGUGGACGGGAUAAGUGCUGAAAGCAUCUAAGCAUGAAGCCCCCCUCAAGAUGAGAUUUCCCAACUUCGGUUAUAAGAUCCCUCAAAGAUGAUGAGGUUAAUAGGUUCGAGGUGGAAGCAUGGUGACAUGUGGAGCUGACGAAUACUAAUCGAUCGAAGACUUAAUCAA